rnacentral:misc_RNA from 1 species
AGAAGGCCUGAUAUGGACUGCCUGAUGAAGAUGAAAACGACAUGCUAACUGUUAUCAUGGGUUAUAAAGCAUUACGCAAAGAUAAUAAUUCAGUAGUACAUCAUGAAAAAAAUAACAGCAAUAAAAAACACAAGGAUGUUGCCAUUUUUAAUCCGUAGCCCAAAUAAACAGAAUAUAACUGAGCAAAGCCAAGUGUUAUGUAAAUCUUGAAUUUUCUUUUUUCCUUUUUUGACUCGCUCACACUUAAACACUUAACAUACUUUAAAACCAGUAAAAAUCAUACCAGGUGGCAUCUUAGGAAGGAG